rnacentral:siRNA from 1 species
ACACCUUGCAAAAUGCAUCACGCA